GGGGGCUCCCACAGGGGGUUAUCGGCCUCAGCACAGAUCCUUGCCUCAGGAGUAGAGCAGCAGCAGAAUAGCGUCUCCAUGAGAACGCGGCAGAGAAGAACACGCCUGCAGCUCAGACAUCCUGCUCAUCCACCGUCAGAGGAACGCGGGCUGUGGCCUUAAAUUCUCUUCCCACGUACUCUCCUUGCUCCUGCUUGCCAACUGCAGCCUCCCGGGGCUGUCCAAAUCCAUCUGUCAGGAGUCCAUGCAGUAAGUGUGCCACGAUCCCAGCCCAUCAGAACUGCUUCUGCCAAAGGGCCAUCGGCUCCGCUAGCUUCUUCUUCAAUUUCAGCUCCGUCCGCAUCUUUAUGUUUUGUUUAGAGUCGAGUGUACAGUUCUCACGUAAUAAAUGUUGAGUGAUAACUUGACUGAUGUCUGCAAUGACACAAAUGGGGAUGUUUUGUAAUUUCAACAUAGAAAGUAGGAACUGAAUAAGGU
rnacentral:lncRNA from 1 species